rnacentral:rRNA from 1 species
GACGAACGCUGGCGGCGUGCUUAACACAUGCAAGUCGAAUGGAAAGGCUCUGCUUUUGUGGGGUGCUCGAGUGGCGAACGGGUGAGUAACACGUGAGUAACCUGCCCUUGACUUUGGGAUAACUUCAGGAAACUGGGGCUAAUACCGGACAGGAGCUCCUGCUGCAUGGUGGGGGUUGGAAAGUUUCGGCGGUUGGGGAUGGACUCGCGGCUUAUCAGUUUGUUGGUGGGGUAGUGGCCUACCAAGGCUUUGACGGGUAGCCGGCCUGAGAGGGUGACCGGCCACAUUGGGACUGAGGUACGGCCCAGACUCCUACGGGAGGCAGCAGUGGGGAAUAUUGCACAAUGGGCGGAAGCCUGAUGCAGCAACGCCGCGUGCGGGAUAACGGCCUUCGGGUUGUAAACCGCUUUCGCCUGUGACGAAGCGAGGGUGACGGUAAUGGGUAAAGAAGCACCGGCUAACUACGUG